rnacentral:pre_miRNA from 1 species
AGUGGAAUGGCUAGAUCCUGUGAUACAUGUUUUAACAUUUUAAGAAACAAUCAAGCUAUUUCCCAAGGUGAUUGUUUCAUUUUACAUUCUCACCAGCCAU